rnacentral:sRNA from 1 species
CCCUGCCAUGAUUUGCACCUGAUAUUCAGGGAUCACUCUCAAAAUGUGAGCCAUAAAGAAGAAGGCUGUGUCGCUGGGAGUGAGAAUCUGCAGCAACAACAUAGAAAUAAGCCCCUGCCGGGCUCCCAGUGGUUUCUGAGAAAAAUGGGCUUCUCUUUCUACUAAAUUGCCCAGGUUAUUGCCUCAUACACCGCCACCGGCCCCGAGCAGCUCACUCUCGCCCCUGGUCAGCUGAUUUUGAUCCGAAAAAAGAACCCAGGUGGAUGGUGGGAAGGAGAGCUGCAAGCACGUGGGAAAAAGCGCCAGAUAGGCUGGUUCCCAGCUAAUUAUGUAAAGCUUCUAAGCCCUGGGACGAGCAAAAUCACUCCAACAGAGCCACCUAAGUCAACAGCAUUAGCGGCAGUGUGCCAGGUGAUUGGGAUGUACGACUACACCGCGCAGAAUGACGAUGAGCUGGCCUUCAACAAGGGCCAGAUCAUCAACGUCCUCAACAAGGAGGACCCUGACUGGUGGAAAGGAGAAGUCAAUGGACAAGUGGGGCUCUUCCCAUCCAAUUAUGUGAAGCUGACCACAGACAUGGACCCAAGCCAGCAAUGAAUCAUAUGUUGUCCAUCCCCCCCUCAGGCUUGAAAGUCCUCAAAGAGACC